UGCAAUGCAGUUGCAACGCUGGCCUCGGCCAACCUCGUUAAGAGCUCUGCGGCUGAGCUGGCCUUUUGGAGUUGUCGCAGAUUGGACCAAGGCGUUUGGGUUUUUCUGUAAUCCUCACUCAAUCCCCUUCCCCAUGGAGGAGUCACUGGAUGCAGGCUACCUACAGGCAUAACCUGGGCUGGGUAAGGCAGCUCCCUUAGAGGAGGACAACUCCCUGAGAAUGAAGUGGCUGUGAACGGUGAGCUGCCGACAUUGCCUGGCAUCUGGAGAAGGAAUGCCUCAUCGUGGGGGCAUCUGGGUGAGGCAGCACAGCAGCCACUACAAGCCGGAAUAGCAGAAGGGAAUACAGGCCUUCAUUAUCUUUCCUGAUGACCUCCGCACAGGCCCAAGGAUACCCACACCCACUUUGAGAAGCCCGGCUGCCCGGUUUGUGUCUUCACUACCCAAUAUCCCCUUCUGAAGACUCAGCCUCUUAUGUCAAGGAGCUCGGAGUGUGGCAGACAGGUAACACACAAGGUGACAAUGCUCUGGGACUCAGAGAAGACCAACGUAAACACAAUUCACUGUGCUGCCCAGCUGGAGGCCUGAAGAUCGCGCCAGUCACUACCACUGUACCCACAAGGGAGCUCUAUGCUGAGCAACUGCCCUAAAAUUUGGAAAAUCACUGCUCUACAUACAACAGAUGAAGAUAUGAGGCCUUUAGACAGCCUAUACCUGAUGGAUUAAUCUUCACACUCAUGGCCUUCAGUGUCCUGAACCCAGAGGUCCAGAGCACAGAGUGACAAGAUGCAGUGUGAAUGCCAGUUCACUCCUGUCUUGACCUUACACAAGGUAUUUGACCUCUCCCAGCCUCUGUCUCCUCAUCUGUUCCGUGGCAGUGGUGCCAGACUACACGCUGGCAUCCAGCUGGCACACAGCAGACGCUGGAGA